GAUGAAGAACGUAGCGAAAUGCGAUACUUGGUGUGAAUUGCAGAAUCCCGUGAACCAUCGAGUCUUUGAACGCAAGUUGCGCCCGAAGCCACUAGGCCGAGGGCACGCCUGCCUGGGCGUCACACGCCGUUGCCCCCCCAUCUACUCCUUCGGGAUUGCGGGGGGGCGGAUGAUGGCCUCCCGUGCGCCUAGCCGCGCGGUUGGCAUAAAUACUAAGUCCUCGGCGACGCACGCCACGACAAUCGGUGGUUGCGAAACCUCGGUUGCCCGUCGUGUGCGUUCGUCGCGCAUCGAGGGCUCGAAAAAAUGCUCGGCUCCGGCUGGGCUUUCAACGCGACCCCAGGUCAGGCGGGGUUACCCGCUGAAUUUAAGCAUAUCAAUAAGCGGAGGA
rnacentral:misc_RNA from 1 species